ensembl:lncRNA
GUAUAGAUAGAUACAGUCACAUAGACACCAGGUAUAGAUAGAUACAGUCACAUAGACAGCAGGUAGAGAUAGAUACAGUCACAUAGACACCAGGUAUAGAUAGAUACAGUCACAUAGACACCAGGUAGAGAUAGAUACAGUCACAUAGACACCAGGUAUAGAUAGAUACAGUCACAUAGACACCAGGUAUAGAUAGAUACAGUCACAUAGACACCAGGUAUAGAUAGAUAGUCACAUAGACACCAGGUAGAGAUAGAUACAGUCACAUAGAGACCAGGUAUAGAUAGAUACAGUCACAUAGACACAAGGUAUAGAUAGAUACAGUCACAUAGACAGCAGGUAUAGAUAGAUACAGUCACAGAGACACCAGGUAUAGAUAGAUACAGUCACAUAGACACCCGGUAGAGAUAGAUGCAGUCUCAUAGACACCAGGUAGAGAUACAGUCACAUAGACACCAGGUAGAGAUAGAUACAGUCACAUAGACACCAGGCAUAGAUAGAUACAGUCACAUAGACACCAGGUAUAGAUAGAUACAGUCACAUAGACACCAGGUAUAGAUAGAUACAGUCACAUAGACACCAG